rnacentral:rRNA from 1 species
CACAUGCAAGUCGAACGGAAAGGCCUGGUGCUUGCACUGGGUACUCGAGUGGCGAACGGGUGAGUAACACGUGGGUGAUCUGCCCUCAACUUUGGGAUAAGCCUGGGAAACUGGGUCUAAUACCGGAUAGGAACAAUCUUUAGUGUGGUAGUUGGAAAGCUUUUGCGGUUGGGGAUGAGCUCGCGGCCUAUCAGCUUGUUGGUGGGGUAAUGGCCUACCAAGGCGUCGACGGGUAGCCGGCCUGAGAGGGUGUACGGCCACAUUGGGACUGAGAUACGGCCCAGACUCCUACGGGAGGCAGCAGUGGGGAAUAUUGCACAAUGGGCGGAAGCCUGAUGCAGCGACGUCGCGUGGGGGAUGAAGGUCUUCAGGUUAUAAACUCCUUUCGACAGGGACGAAGCUUUUGUGACGGUACCUGUAUAAGAAGCACCGGCUAACUACGUGCCAGCAGCCGCGGUAAUACGUAGGGUGCGAGCGUUGUCCGGAAUUACUGGGCGUAAAGAGCUCGUAGGUGGUUCGUCGCGUCGUCUGUGAAAUUCCGGGGCUUAACUCCGAGCGUGCAGGCGAUAC